rnacentral:rRNA from 1 species
AAUCCAUAGGUUAAUGAGGCGAACCGGGGGAACUGAAACAUCUAAGUACCCCGAGGAAAAGAAAUCAACCGAGAUUCCCCCAGUAGCGGCGAGCGAACGGGGAGGAGCCCAGAGCCUGAAUCAGCAUGUGUGUUAGUGGAAGCGUCUGGAAAGGCGCGCGAUACAGGGUGACAGCCCCGUACACAAAAGCGCAUGUGCUGUGAGCUCGAUGAGUAGGGCGGGACACGUGGUAUCCUGUCUGAAUAUGGGGGGACCAUCCUCCAAGGCUAAAUACUCCUGACUGACCGAUAGUGAACCAGUACCGUGAGGGAAAGGCGAAAAGAACCCCGGCGAGGGGAGUGAAAAAGAACCUGAAACCGUGUACGUACAAGCAGUGGGAGCACCCUUUGGGGUGUGACUGCGUACCUUUUGUAUAAUGGGUCAGCGACUUAUAUUCUGUAGCAAGGUUAACCGUAUAGGGGAGCCGGAGGGAAACCGAGUCUUAACCGGGCGUUAAGUUGCAGGGUAUAGACCCGAAACCCGGUGAUCUAGCCAUGGGCAGGUUGAAGGUUGGGUAACACUAACUGGAGGACCGAACCGACUAAUGUUGAAAAAUUAGCGGAUGACCUGUGGCUGGGGGUGAAAGGCCAAUCAAACCGGGAGAUAGCUGGUUCUCCCCGAAAGCUAUUUAGGUAGCGCCUCGUGAAUUCAUCUCCGGGGGUAGAGCACUGUUUCGGCUAGGGGGCCAUCCCGGCUUACCAACCCGAUGCAAACUGCGAAUACCGGAGAAUGUUAUCACGGGAGACACACGGCGGGUGCUAACGUCCGUCGUGAAGAGGGAAACAACCCAGACCGCCAGCUAAGGUCCCAAAGU